rnacentral:rRNA from 1 species
AUGGAAGACCUGGACAACUUCUUUGGUCAGCUUGACCUAGAAGAUGAGGUGUUCGAUGGCCUAGUAAUCGAUGAAGAGGUCCCGGAGAUCAACGAGCGUGUCCGCUGGAUGGCUCUUGCCCGUGUUCAUACUGACAAGACCUUCAACCACUCGGCGUUCUUCAAGGACAUGAGGGCGGCGUGGAACACGGCACAGCCGGUGAGGUUCAGGCCAGUCGGGGCCAAUUUGUCCGUUGUGCAAGCAUCUUGUUUGGGCAAUUGGGAAAGAAUCAUGCAUCAAGGCCCUUGGUUAUUCAGAUUCUGGGCAGUUCUGCAUCCUUAUGAUGGUUUGAGCAGAGCCGAGGACACACAGAUUGUACACAUGCCAAUCUGGCCACAGAUCCAUAAGCUCCCGGAUGGUUAUUGCAGCAAGGAUAUUGUUGAGAAACUAAUCCGCAAGGCUGGGGAAAUCAUGGAGCUCAGACUUGUCGGGAAUUCCCGGGGUGAUUACAUAAGGGUCCGAGUUGAACAUGAUGUGAGGGAUCCCCUCACAAAGCAUGUGAGUAUUGUCAAAGGCAGGGAGAGGCAAGUGUCUGUAGUUAGAUAUGAGAAGCUCGCUCGCUUCUAUAAGUUUUGUGGUAAAAUAGGGCAUGAUUUCAAGGAGUGUGGAACUGGUGUUUACACUGCAAAGGAACUGAAAUUUGGGGAAUGGUUGUAUGCGGAUCCACCAAACAUGAACAGGUCUGAGUUUCAGGGGGGUUGCCGCACUACUGCUGCUGUGUCUGGAAAUCAUGGAGGUGAGGGUCUGACAAAUACUACUUCCACACCUAUCAAGAGCCCAUCUACAAGGGGGGUGACUGAAAAAGAGACCCUGGGGAAGGCAAGUGAUAACAUGGAGGAGGACAAAGGAUUAAGGAAACACAUUCUGGUUGAGUGUGGUGAUGCGACUGAUCCGCAGAUUAAUCACUGCUGUUGUUGGCGAUUACUUCUGGCAAUGGGGAGGAUGGUCAAACGACGUCCCUUACUUCUAGUACCGACAGCAAACGUGCACGAAUUGAAACUAGCUUAG